rnacentral:rRNA from 1 species
GACAGGCGUAGUCGAUGGACAACGGGUUGAUAUUCCCGUACCGGCGAAACAACGCCCGUGCUGAGGCGCGCGAUGCUAAGCAUGCGAGACUGUCUGUUGCCUUUCGGGGUGGCGGGUGGUUGAGUCUGUGACCCGAGUGUGUAGUAGGCAAGCCGCGGAGGGACGCAGGAAGGUAGCUCAUCCUCAGCGUUGGUUGUCUGAGGCUAAGUGUGUAGGGUGGGGUGUAGGUAAAUCCGCAUUCCGUGAUGCCUGAGACAUGAUGGGCCCGUACCUUUGGUGGUUCGGGUUGAGUGAUCCUAUGCUGCCUAGAAAAGCUUCGUUAGCGAGUUGUUAGCCGCCCGUACCCUAAACCGACACAGGUGGAUAGGUAGAGUAUACCGAGGCGAUCGGGAUAAUCGUGGUGAAGGAACUCGGCAAAAUACCCCCGUAACUUCGGGAUAAGGGGGACCUGAUACGUGACCAGCCUUGCGUUGUGAGCGUUGAGGGUCGCAGAGACCAGGCCCAAGCGACUGUUUACUAAAAACACAGGUCCGUGCCAACUCGUAAGAGGACGUAUACGGACUGACUCCUGCCCGGUGCUGGAAGGUUAAGGGGAACCGUCAGCCGCAUUUUGUGUGGUGAAGCGGUGAACUUAAGCCCCAGUAAACGGCGGUGGUAACUAUAACCAUCCUAAGGUAGCGAAAUUCCUUGUCGGGUAAGUUCCGACCUGCACGAAUGGAGUAACGAUUUGGGCGCUGUCUCCACCACGAACCCGGUGAAAUUGCAUUACGAGUAAAGAUGCUCGUUACGCGCAGCAGGACGGAAAGACCCCGGGACCUUUACUAUAGUUUGGUAUUGGUGAUCGGUGUGACUUGUGUAGGAUAGGUGGGAGACUGUGAAGCCGGGACGCUAGUUUCGGUGGAGUCGUCGUUGAAAUACCACUCUGGUCACUCUGGUUAUCUAACCUAGGACCGUUAUCCGGUUCAGGGACAGUGCCUGAUGGGUAGUUUGACUGGGGCGGUCGCCUCCUAAAAGGUAACGGAGGCGCCCAAAGGUUCCCUCAGCCUGGUUGGCAAUCAGGUAGCGAGUGUAAGUGCACAAGGGAGCUUGACUGCGAGACUGACGGGUCGAGCAGGGACGAAAGUCGGGACUAGUGAUCUUCUGGUAGCGAAUGGAAGCGCCAGGACUCAACGGAUAAAAGGUACCCCGGGGAUAACAGGCUGAUCUUGCCCGAGCGUCCAUAGCGACGGCAUGGUUUGGCACCUCGAUGUCGGCUCGUCGCAUCCUGGGGCUGGAGUCGGUCCCAAGGGUUGGGCUGUUCGCCCAUUAAAGCGGCACGCGAGCUGGGUUUAGAACGUCGUGAGACAGUUCGGUCCCUAUCCGCUGCGCGCGUAGGAGUCUUGAGAAGGGCUGUCCUUAGUACGAGAGGACCGGGACGGACCAACCUCUGGUGUGCCAGUUGUUCCGCCAGGAGCACGGCUGGUUGGCUACGUUGGGAAGUGAUAACCGCUGAAAGCAUCUAAGCGGGAAGCACGCUUCAAGAUGAGGACUCCCACACCAACAAGGUGGUAAGGCCCCCUGCAGACCACAGGGUCGAUAGGUCGGACGUGGAAGCACAGUAAUGUGUGAAGCUGACCGAUACUAAUAGGCCGAGGGCUUGCCAC